UACGUAGGGUGCAAGCGUUAAUCGGAAUUACUGGGCGUAAAGCGUGCGCAGGCGGUAAUGUAAGACAGAGGUGAAAUCCCCGGGCUCAACCUGGGAACUGCCUUUGUGACUGCAUUGCUAGAGUACGGUAGAGGGGGGUGGAAUUCCGCGUGUAGCAGUGAAAUGCGUAGAUAUGCGAAGGAACACCGAUGGCGAAGGCAGCCUCCUGGACCUGUACUGACGCUCAUGCACGAAAGCAUGGGGAGCAAACAGG
rnacentral:rRNA from 1 species